AUACGUAGGGGGCGAGCGUUGUCCGGAAUGAUUGGGCGUAAAGGGCGCGUAGGCGGCCCGGUAAGUCUGGAGUGAAAGUCCUGUUUUUAAGAUGGGAAUUGCUUUGGAUACUGUCGGGCUUGAGUGCAGGAGAGGUAAGUGGAAUUCCCAGUGUAGCGGUGAAAUGCGUAGAGAUUGGGAGGAACACCAGUGGCGGAGGCGACGUACUGGAAUGUAACUGACGCUGAGGCGUGAAAGUGUAGGGAGCAAACAGGAUUAGAUGCCCUGGUAGUCCACACUGUAAACGAUGAAUGCUAGGUGUAGGGGGUAUCGACCCCUUCUGUGCCGCAGUCAACACAAUAAGCAUUCCGCCUGGGGAGUACGGCCGCAAGGUUGAAACUCAAAGGAAUUGACGGGG
rnacentral:rRNA from 1 species